rnacentral:rRNA from 1 species
UGCCCAGCAGCCGCGGUAAUACGGAAGAUGCGAGUGUAUGAGACUGGUACGAUAUGGUUAAGGUCGUAGUGUCUAAUAAGUCAGUGGUGAAAUCUCUUUGCUUAACAAGGAAAUUGCCAUUGAAACUGUUAGACUUGAGAAUGGACGAGGUAGGCGGAAUUCGUAGUGUAGCGGUGAAAUGCAUAGAUAUUACGAAGAACUCCAAUAGUGUAGACUGCUUACCAGACCAUAUCUGACACUAAGGCACGAAAGUGUGGGUAUCAAACAGGAUUAGAUACCCUGGUAGUCCACACAGUAAACGAUGAAUACUAACUGUUUGCGAUAUACAGCAAGUGGUCGAGCGAAAGCGUUAAGUAUUCCACCUGGGAAGUAUGCCGGCAACGGUGAAACUCAAAGGAAUUGACGGGGGCCCGCACAAGCGGAGGAACAUGUGGUUUAAUUCGAUAAUACGCGAGGAACCUUACCCGGGCUCGAACGAUAUUUGAAUACAUCCGAAAAGAUGUAGCUAGCAAUAGCAAAUACCGAGGUGCUGCAUGGUUGUCGUCAGCUCGUGCCGUGAGGUGUCGACUUAAGUGUCAUAACGAGCGCAACCCUUACCGAUAGUUACCAUCAGAUAAUGCUGGGGACUCUAUUGGGACUGCCACCGUAAGGUGUGAGGAAGGAGAGGAUGACGUCAAAUCAGCACGGCCCUUAUGUCCGGGGCGACACACGUGUUACAAUGGGAGAAACAAAGGGUCGCUACCUGGCAACAGGAUGCUAAUCUCGAAAAUCUCUCUCAGUUCGGAUUGGAGUCUGCAACUCGACUCCAUGAAGCUGGAUUCGCUAGUAAUCGCACAUCAGCCAUGGUGCGGUGAAUACGUUCCCGGGCCUUGUACACACCGCCCGUCAAGCCAUGGAAGCUGGAAGUACCUGAAGUAUGUAACUGAAAAGAGCGUCCU